CAACCAUAACUCAUAUAGCCAGCUCAAAAUAAAGACUCGUAACCAUCUUUCCUAAACCCAAGUAAAGCAUGGCACGUGUCCUGACUACUUCAACAAUUUUAGCUGGCAUAUUCUCGUAUCAUAUAUACACUUGUUUGGAUGAUUGAAAUUAUUUAAAAUGGAUAGCCUUUAAUCUGUGUUAAUAGAAAAAAUAAAAUAAACUGAAUUGAUUUUUAUAAAAAUAAAAUCGAAUCAAUGGAAUUAUUAAAUAAAUCGAAUUGAAAUUUUUAAUUCGAAUAAUUCGGUUUAAACCGAAUUUUGCUCAGCCCAUCCUCCUCCACGCAUCCAGUUUCGGGCAGUCCCACCGCUGCCGCCAACCAGCCAUAACAAAGAAAAAAAUCCCUUAUUUCAACCACUUGAAAUUAUUUACUUCAAUUCUAUAAUUUUUGAUUAAGUGAUUUUUGCCAAUUAAUAAAGGCAACCAUCGCUCGACUUGAAUCCUUCGAAAACGAUUAUGUGGGGAUGGAAAUGGUGGAAAGUAAUUAUGAUGAUAAGGAGGCUUCCCUCGAUGAUGAUGAUGAUGAUGAUGAUGGUCUCCUCCAUUUUAUUCUAUCUUUUUUUUUUUUAAUCUAUUUUCUUUUCGAAUUUUUCUGUGAAUUGAUACAUCUAAGCUUUAAUCUUCAGUGUUUUUCUUAGUACGAGAUGUGGAAUUUUUUAUUUCAAUCAUUUAAUUUUUGUUAGAAUUUUUUUACUGUUCAUUUAGUCUAUAUAAUUUGCGUCUGUAGAUUUUAUCGUUGGAAUGAUCAAUGUCCAAGAAGCUACAUUCUGAUUAUUUAUUUAUUUAUUCUUUUAAUCUCCCUUUCACUUCUCUUCAAAA